ACUGUACGCUGGCGGCAUGCCUUACACAUGCAAGUCGAACGGCAGCACGGGAGCAAUCCUGGUGGCGAGCGGCGAACGGGUGAGUAAAGUAUCGGAACGUGCCCAGUCGUGGGGGAUAACGUAGCGAAAGUUACGCUAAUACCGCAUACGAUCUAUGGAUGAAAGCGGGGGAUCGCAAGAACUCGCGCGAUUGGAGCGGCCGAUAUCAGAUUAGGUAGUUGGUGGGGCAAAGGCCCACCAAGCCAACGAUCUGUAGCUGGUCUGAGAGGACGACCAGCCACACUGGAACUGAGACACGGUCCAGACUCCUACGGGAGGCAGCAGUGGGGAAUUUUGGACAAUGGGCGAAAGCCUGAUCCAGCCAUUCCGCGUGCAGGAUGAAGGCCCUCGGGUUGCAAACUGCUUUUGUACAGAACGAAAAGGUUUCUACUAAUACUAGGAGCUCAUGACGGUACUGUAAGAAUAAGCACCGGCUAACUACGUGCCAGCAGCCGCCGUAA
rnacentral:rRNA from 1 species